rnacentral:rRNA from 1 species
AUUGAACGCUGGCGGCAUGCCUUACACAUGCAAGUCGAACGGUAACCGGUCUUCGGAUGCUGACGAGUGGCGAACGGGUGAGUAAUACAUCGGAACGUGCCUAGUAGUGGGGGAAAACUACUCGAAAGAGUGGCUAAUACCGCAUGAGAUCUACGGAUGAAAGCAGGGGAUCGCAAGACCUUGUGCUACUAGAGCGGCCGAUGGCAGAUUAGGUAGUUGGUGGGAUAAAAGCUUACCAAGCCGACGAUCUGUAGCUGGUCUGAGAGGACGAUCAGCCACACUGGGACUGAGACACGGCCCAGACUCCUACGGGAGGCAGCAGUGGGGAAUUUUGGACAAUGGGCGAAAGCCUGAUCCAGCAAUGCCGCGUGCAGGAUGAAGGCCUUCGGGUUGUAAACUGCUUUUGCACGGAACGAAAAGCCCCGGGUUAAUACCCUGGGGUCAUGACGGUACCGUAAGAAUAAGCACCGGCUAACUACGUGCCAGCAGCCGCCGCAG